GGGCGGUUUGGUUUCAGGAGGAAAAGAAAACGAAAAUGGAUUAAAACCGUGGGUUCAAAUCCAUGGACGCUGGCACUCCGCCAUCCACUCGCGCCGGCGCCGCCUCUAGCCUCCCUCCCCUCUGAAGCUCCCCAUCUCUUUGUUCGCUGGAUCUAGCCGUCGGCCUCCCUCCUCGCUGAAGCUCGCCGGCGCCUUUCUCGGCCUUGCCGGACCGGCGCGGCCUGGUUCUUCCUCCCCAUCCGCUGGCCUUCGUCCCACCGUCGACCUCCACCACCUUGAUGCAACGUUGCUCCUCCACGAGCUCCACGAGCUCCACGACCGGAGCAAUGAAUGCUAGAUGAAAGUGAGCAUCCAAAACAUCAAAUGCGUGAAUGCUAGAUUUGAAGGACUGGCCAUCCUUUGGCCAUACUGAGUACCUGUAGUCUGUUGACUGCUUGAGCAUGGUGAAAUGAUAUUAUUGUCCAAAACUCCAAGUGGAGCUCCUCCAGUCUCCCGAGCUGACCUACAAAACCGGUGAUCUUGCCCCAAACCAGUUUUGAAGUAUUGAUCAUGGUAAAAUGCAAUGGAUAAAGCCCAUGGCGUGUCAAAAUGGGCACUCCUGAUUUCUCUGCAGGAGGAAGGGAGCCGAGAAGCUGCGAAUGACACUUGAAGGUGCAGAGGAAGAGGAAGAACUGCAACACGUGUGAAUGUUGCCAACAUUUCCCACUGUAAUUGAUUGAAGUUGUCAAUAUGAAUUCAUAUUAUGUAUCAGGCAUUGUAAAUUCCCUUGUAAUCCAGUGGAUUUAUGUCAAUGAAUAUGUGAAUUCAGAUAUUCAGUGAAGUAAACACCAUUGUCGUCAAGUA